rnacentral:rRNA from 1 species
UACGGAGGGUGCGAGCGUUGUUCGGAAUUACUGGGCGUAAAGCGCGUGUAGGCGGCCUGCUAAGUCUGAUGUGAAAGCCCGGGGCUCACCCCCGGAAGUGCAUUGGAAACUGGUAGGCUCGAGUCCCGGAGAGGAGGGUGGAAUUCCUGGUGUAGCGGUGAAAUGCGUAGAUAUCAGGAGGAACACCGGUGGCGAAGGCGGCCCCCUGGACGGUGACUGACGCUGAGACGCGAAAGCGUGGGGAGCAAACAGG